rnacentral:rRNA from 1 species
AACGAACGCUGGCGGCAGGCUUAACACAUGCAAGUCGAGCGCAUCCUUCGGGGUGAGCGGCAGACGGGUGAGUAACGCGUGGGAAUCUACCUUUUGCUACGGAAUAGCUCCGGGAAACUGGAAUUAAUACCGUAUGUGCCCUUAGGGGGAAAGAUUUAUCGGCAAGAGAUGAGCCCGCGUUGGAUUAGCUAGUUGGUGGGGUAAAGGCCUACCAAGGCGACGAUCCAUAGCUGGACUGAGAGGAUGAUCAGCCACAUUGGGACUGAGACACGGCCCAAACUCCUACGGGAGGCAGCAGUGGGGAAUAUUGGACAAUGGGCGCAAGCCUGAUCCAGCCAUGCCGCGUGAGUGAUGAAGGCCUUAGGGUUGUAAAGCUCUUUCACCGGAGAAGAUAAUGACGGUAUCCGGAGAAGAAGCCCCGGCUAACUUCGUG